CCUACGGGGGGCAGCAGUGAGGAAUAUUGGUCAAUGGACGAGAGUCUGAACCAGCCAAGUAGCGUGAAGGAUGACUGCCCUAUGGGUUGUAAACUUCUUUUAUAUGGGAAUAAAAUGUUCCACGUGUGGGAUUUUGUAUGUACCAUAUGAAUAAGGAUCGGCUAACUCCGUGCCAGCAGCCGCGGUAAUACGGAGGAUCCGAGCGUUAUCCGGAUUUAUUGGGUUUAAAGGGAGCGUAGGUGGAUUGUUAAGUCAGUUGUGAAAGUUUGCGGCUCAACCGUAAAAUUGCAGUUGAAACUGGCAGUCUUGAGUACAGUAGAGGUGGGCGGAAUGCGUGGUGUAGCGGUGAAAUGCUUAGAGAUCACGAAGAACUCCGAUUGCGAAGGCAGUUCACUGGACUGCAACUGACACUGAGGCUCGAAAGUGUGGGUAUCAAACAGGAUUAGAUACCCCAGUAGUC
rnacentral:rRNA from 1 species